AGUGAACGCUGGCGGUAGGCCUAACACAUGCAAGUCGAACGGCAGCACAGUAAGAGCUUGCUCUUACGGGUGGCGAGUGGAGGACGGGUGAGGAAUACAUCGGAAUCUACUUUUUCGUGGGGGAUAACGUAGGGAAACUUACGCUAAUACCGCAUACGACCUACGGGUGAAAGCAGGGGAUCUUCGUACCUUGCGCGAUUGAAUGAGCCGAUGUCGGAUUAGCUAGUUGGCGGGGUAAAGGCCCACCAAGGCGACAAUCCGUAGCUGGUCUGAGAGGAUGAUCAGCCACACUAGAACUGAGACACGGUCCAGACUCCUACGGGAGGCAGCAGUGGGGAAUAUUGGACAAUGGGCGCAAGCCUGAUCCAGCAAUACCGCGUGGGUGAAGAAGGCCUUCGGGUUGUAAAGCCCUUUUGUUGGGAAAGAAAAGCAGCAGGUUAAUACCCCGCUGUUCUGACGGUACCCAAAGAAUAAGCACCGGCUAACUUCGUG
rnacentral:rRNA from 1 species